GAUGAAGAACGUAGCGAAAUGCGAUAAGUAAUGUGAAUUGCAGAAUUCAGUGAAUCAUCGAAUCUUUGAACGCACAUUGCGCCCAUUAGUAUUCUAGUGGGCAUGCCUGUUCGAGCGUCAUUUCAACCCUUAAGCCCCCGUUGCUUAGCGUUGGGAACCUACAGCGAUGUAGUUCCUUAAAGUUAGUGGCGGAGUCGGUUCACACUCUAGGCGUAGUAAAUUUUAUCUCGCCUCUGUAGUUGGACCGUCCCCCGCCGUAAAACACCCCAAUUUCUAAAGGUUGACCUCGGAUCAGGUAGGAAUACCCGCUGAACUUAAGCAUAUCAAUAAGCGGAGGA
rnacentral:misc_RNA from 1 species